rnacentral:rRNA from 1 species
AUUGAACGCUGGCGGUAUGCUUAACACAUGCAAGUCGAACGGUAACAGGCCUUCGGGCGCUGACGAGUGGCGGACGGUGAGUAACGCGUAGGAAUCUGCCUCAUAGUGGGGGACAACGUGGGGAAACUCACGCUAAUACCGCAUACGCCCUACGGGGGAAAGGCGGGGGAGUCUUCGGACCUCGCGCUAUGAGAUGAGCCUGCGUUAGAUUAGCUAGUUGGUAGGGUAAAAGCCUACCAAGGCGACGAUCUAUAGCUGGUCUGAGAGGACGAUCAGCUACACUGGGACUGAGACACGGCCCAGACUCUUACGGGAGGCAGCAGUGGGGAAUAAUUGGACAAUGGGCGCAAGCCUGAUCCAGCAAUACCGCGUGUGUGAAGAAGGCCUU